rnacentral:ncRNA from 1 species
ACCGCCCCGUCGUUACUACCAUUGAUGAUUUUCUGAGGUCUUCGGAUUAGCUUCCGAAGCACCUUUAGAGUGGCGUCGGCAAGCAGGAAAGAUGACCAGACUUGAUCAUUUAGAGGAAAUGAAUGUCACAACAAGGUUCCCGUAGGUGAACCUGCAAAAG